GGGGGGCUAUUGAGCUAAUGGUUAAUUAAUAUAUUUUAAUUUUUUGCCUUCUUUGGCAAGUUGUUCAAGUACCUCUUCAUACUUGCAGUUUUAUAUUGCCCUUCAAUUUAACCAUUAUUCCCAUAUCAUAUAAUGCAUAUUAUUUCAUUAUACAUAAUUUUGAUGACAUUGGAUAUUCAAUGUCAUAUUUUUCUACGUUUGAACUGAUCUGAUUACACAUUUGCUAAUUUUGCCAAAUUUAGAAAGUAUUCAUC
rnacentral:lncRNA from 1 species